rnacentral:rRNA from 1 species
UGGGGAAUUUUGGGCAAUGGGCGAAAGCCUGACCCAGCAACGCCGCGUGAAGGAUGAAGUAUUUCGGUAUGUAAACUUCGAAAGAAUAGGAAGAAUAAAUGACGGUACUAUUUAUAAGGUCCGGCUAACUCCGUGCCAGCAGCCGCGGUAAUACGGGGGGUGCAAGCGUUAAUCGGAAUUAUUGGGCGUAAAGGGUGCGUAGGUUGUUUGAUAAGAUAUAUGUGAAAUACCUGGGCUCAACCUGGGAAGGUCAUAUAAGACUGUCAGACUCGAGUAUGGGAGAGGGUAGAGGAAUUUCCGGUGUAGCGGUGAAAUGCGUAGAUAUCGGAAGGAACAUCGGUGGCGAAGGCGUCUACCUGGCCUAAUACUGACACUGAGGCACGAAAGCGUGGGGAGCAAACAGGAUUAGAUACCCCCGUAGUCCCUGAGCGGGCUGGCAAGGCGCAU